rnacentral:rRNA from 1 species
AUUGAACGCUGGCGGAAUGCUUUACACAUGCAAGUCGAACGGCAGCACGGGAGCAAUCCUGGUGGCGAGUGGCGAACGGGUGAGUAAUAUAUCGGAACGUGCCCAGUCGUGGGGGAUAACGCAGCGAAAGCUGUGCUAAUACCGCAUACGAACUAUGGAUGAAAGCGGGGGAACGCAAGGCCUCGCGCGAUUGGAGCGGGCGAUAUCAGAUUAGCUAGUUGGUGGGGUAAAGGCCCACCAAGGCGACGAUCUGUAGCUGGUCUGAGAGGACGACCAGCCACACUGGAACUGAGACACGGUCCAGACUCCUACGGGAGGCAGCAGUGGGGAAUUUUGGACAAUGGGCGAAAGCCUGAUCCAGCCAUUCCGCGUGCAGGAUGAAGGCCCUCGGGUUGUAAACUGCUUUUGUACAGAACGAAAAGGUUUCUACUAAUACUAGGAGCUCAUGGCGGUACUGUAAGAAUAAGCACCGGCUAACUACGUGCCAGCAGCCGCCGUAA